GUGUACCCGCGGCAAGACGGAAAGACCCCGUGAACCUUUACUAUAGCUUGACACUGAACAUUGAGCCUUGAUGUGUAGGAUAGGUGGGAGGCUUUGAAGUGUGGACGCCAGUCUGCAUGGAGCCGACCUUGAAAUACCACCCUUUAAUGUUUGAUGUUCUAACGUGGACCCGUAAUCCGGGUUGCGGACAGUGUCUGGUGGGUAGUUUGACUGGGGCGGUCUCCUCCUAAAGAGUAACGGAGGAGCACGAAGGUUGGCUAAUCCUGGUCGGAC
rnacentral:rRNA from 1 species